UGGCUCAAAUGGUAAAGCAUCUGCCUACAAUGCAGGAGACUCAGGUUCGAUCCCUGG
rnacentral:tRNA from 1 species